GUGAAUGUGUAACAACCGGUUCCGGCGCAGUAUAGUUUAGUGAUACUGUGGUUUAGUACUCGCAGUUAGAAUAAUCGCACUGUACAUUGCCACUGUCGAUUUUUACAUUUACUCGCAUUUCCUUCGCGUUGUGUUGUGGGUGCAGUGCAUUGUAACUGUUUUUCUCUUGUUUUCAAUAUCGCGUCUCCUCGUUGCAGCUGCCUCUCCCCGCUGUUCCGUUGUUCCGGUACACAUAUCUGCUCCACAACCGCGUCCUAAUCCGAUCGUGGGGAAGCCGCGCCGAAGAUGAGUGCUAAUGCUAACAACGUGCAGGCAGCGCUCUUCGCAUGCUCCCGGUGUUUCUCCAGACAUCCCUUCGAGGACCUUUCGCCUGGACAACAGUUGUGCAAGAUGGAUGCAGUAGAUACGAGCAUGUGGAAGGCUGGAUUUAGAACCUAAAGGUCCAGAAUAUGCUUAUUACAAUUGCUGUUUGUGCCAUUUACAUUUUGAAAAAAAAUGGUACAAUAUUAACAAAAUUAGAGCUCGUCUUCACCCAGAUGCUAUACCUACUCUAUUUGGAGUGCAUAUUAAUAAACAAGAAAAUGUUGUUCAACUGUAUUCAAUUAAUGAAACAGAAAAAGAAGAUAGAUUCACAGAAAAAAUAAAUAGAAAUGUAUGCAGAGAGACCACUGAUGUUGAAAUAAUUCAAAUGCAAGAAGAGACUAG